CAAAAUGACAAAUAGGUCCUGUGUGAAUGCUAAGUGGCAGCAUGCCUUCUGGGUCCUUCUUCCAGCUGGCUAAAUACAUCAUGGCUCGUCUGGAGAAACAGUUGAUCCCCUGGAACGGUCUGGAGAAGGCUCUGCUCACCACGCCACACAUCUUCCAGCAUUACGCCGUCUACCUGGUGGCUACUGGCAUAGCCGGGCUGGUCCCGGAUCAGCUAGCACCUAGCCAGAAGGACCUGCUGAGGACGGAGUGUACGCUGAAGAGCCUGCCUCCCGGCUCCAUGCUCACCGUCAGCAGCGACCUGGUGGACGACCUCAUGGUCAAGCUGGUACUGAGGCUCCAGCCCCUGAACGGCGAGGGCUACAGACCGCUGAACCAGCAGACGCUCCUGACCACCACUCUCAAGAUGAGUUGUUUCAUCCUGGCCAGACUAAGGAAUAUGCCCGGCAUCACCGUGGACACCAGCCUCCCUUGUCCGUGCUGGGACAUCAGGAGGCUUGCCAUGCUGGUGCAUUGCGGCCUUACCAAGUCCUUGGGGUCCUCUCUCCAGGUAGGAUUGGUUGCCGAUGAAUGUAUGGUGGAGGAGCACUGGCUGAGGGCGUCUUCUCUCUUGUCUCUGUUGAAGGGCCAUAAUGUGCUCGUCUCCAUCCUGUGGGAGGUUGUCGAGGCCCUGCUGGCCCGGUACCAUUCAGACCGCCCUGAGGAAUCCUCCAUCCCCACCCAAGUUCCCAGGGUGAUGCAGGAGGAGCAGGAGAUGGAGGAAGAGCUGCUCAGCCAGAGACUUCCUGAGCAGCUCAGGGAGCAACUCUACGGGACGUUUGGCACGUGGGUCCAACACGGCAAACUCUUUGGCAGGGCUCUCCCACCGAUGAGCACCGCAGAGCAGGACCUGAGAGGAGGGGACGUAGCCGUCCUCAGCAACACUCUGGCUGACGACCCUGUCGCUCUGAACCCCAGUCUGGACGCCCCUCAGAAGGAGCAGCCCGACAGCCACAGCCGUUGUGAUCCGUCUGUGAUGGAGAACAGUAGCUGUGGACCUGUCACUGGAGAUCCCCUUCCUCCAGCAGCUCAGCCAGAGAACGGAGAGUCUAACUCCGUCUCCACAACCGACCCGGUUGUGAUCCAGCGGUCCACCGUUGGAUUCAUUGUGGCCCAGCUGUUCAGAGGCCGUGACGAAAUGUCCUCCCCGUCCCACAUCGACCGGUACCGGGCCUUCCAGAACCUGGUUGUCCGGGAAGUCCACCUCCUGCUGCAGGAGGAGGCCACCAUGAACCAGGACAACCCUGGAUUUGAGCGGACCCUGGAGCGCCUGAAGGACCCCGUGCAGGAGGAGAAACUGGGUCUGCAGCUUCGCUGGGUGCUUGAGGAUAGGCUGAGAGAGGCCUUGCCCGGCGUGUGCCUGUCCAGGGACGGGCUCAUGAAGGACCCCCCGAACACCCUGCUGGCCUGCUCCCUGAUCGCCACAGAGGUCCUUGAUCACCUGAAGACCUCUGUGAGCUCUCCUGACUACAACAAUGAGGCAGAGGAGUGUCUUCACGGGGAACAGUUGUUGGCCCCCACUAAGGACCCCCAGAAUGCCCUGCUGGCCCCUAAUGACCCGGACCCCCAGAAUCCCCCUGAUGACUUCAAGGGAGCAGAGGAGUGCCUCCACGGGGAAGACACAACGUUGGUCACCUCCCCUAAGGAGACUGUGGAGGUGAAGAAGAAAAAGAGGAGGUGGUCUUGGCUUCGCCGGCUCUUCACCUGCAAAAGAAAAUAAGCACGCCACUGCUUGGGCAGGUUGAAACAAUUAGCAUGAGCCGGAUAUUUGCUUGGAGAGCGGUAUUCAACUUCCUUAUGGCAAAAGUAAAUCCAUAUCCCACAUCUGGCGUCCGUCGUCCAAAAGUCAACAAAUUAUUUGCUUUUGUGUUUUAUCGUCGGGUGCCUCUGUGUUAUCGAGUGAAUCCUUUGGGAGCGAUGCAAAUUCCAUCCCAUCAACAGUUGCUGUGAUGCAUCCUUCUCCUCUGCCUGCUGUGUUGUGCCCCAGCAAAAAUCCCAGUGUACAUUGUACUCUAUAGGUGUACAUGUAACACUCAUGUCGGGGUAUAUAUAGGUCCAAGAGUUCAGUGUUCACUGAACACUGUUAGAAGAGCAAAAUAUGUACUCCAAAUUUAGAGUUACAUUUGAACACUUUGAGAGUGCAAAUGUACUCUAUUAGUGGUACCUUUGGGCACUCAUUCAGUGCUUCCUUACACCUGCAGUGUAAACCUAGAACCCCAGAGAGAAUAAAUAUGUACUCCCAAGUCAGUGCUUUGUAGCACUUCACAGAGCUGAUUAUUUAAUACUUCUAGAGUGAGAAUGUACUCUGACUGGUGUACAACCAACACCUUUGAGGUGAAUUAUCAACACUUCAUGAAUGAAUAGUCUACACAUUAGAUUCUUGAAAACAUUUUUAUUGAUGCUGCUGUGGUUGUUACAGUAAAUAAAUAAAUGUGUCCCUGUCAACCAAUUAAAGGGGAAUUCCGGUGUAAAACGGAUUUGGGGUAUGUUUUGUAUGAUAACGAGUUGAAACGUUCGUUUUGGAGCACAAAAAACGCAUAUAGACGCUUUCUUCAGUUGGCUGUUUCUGGCCGAUUCUAUCAAAACGCUAUAAACUUGGAACAAUGGGGGCAGUGGUUAUGGUAAAAACUAAAUGGCUAUUUUAAACCAUUUAAAAGGCUAGAAGUAGCCCGACACUUCUUUGGUAGUUCAAUAAGGGUAUUAACAUAUAAAACGAGGCAUUGAGAACUUUGUAAGUGUACAGAUUGUUUAUUAAAAAGUACAUUUUAUACACACAAUACCAUCAGUAGAUCACCCGUCGACGCCAUUUUGUUUUCAAGACUCGAUAAGUAGAUUGACAAACACAGAGAUUGUGACAUCCAUCAGCAACACACAAGCUCUGGCGGCAUGCCAUGGGACCUUUAAAAAAGAAAAAAAUUUAUCAGGAUACAAUUACCCUGUGAAACUUCACUACACGAUCCACAGCUUCCCGGAUACUGAUUUAGACAGCUCCCUUCUUUCCACUUGGAGGUGGUGGCAGGAGGUAGACCAGCAGGAGAAGUGAGGCCAUGUCCCUAUCCCAACCUGAAAAGGGAGAGCACAUACUUUGAGCAUGAAAUACACCUGAUGAAAGCACAUGACACAACAUAAAAGGUUAAAAAAGAUCUUGUCAAUAAAUAGUGAGCAUCUAAAAAGAUGGCCAAAUACAAACAGGUUAUUAUCAUAGGACCCUUUUAAAAAAAAAAAAAAAAAGGGUCCUAUGUUCCCCAGUCUCAUACAAAGAGGGGAACAUAGGACCCGGGGAACAUAGGACCCGGGGAACAUAGGACCCGGGGAACAUAGACACGCUCCCACUAAAUUGAAGCCACCUGCCUCGUUAGCAUUAGCUAAAAAUUGUAACGAGGCGUUAGCUAAAUUGAAGACAUGUGCCUCAUUAGCAUUGGCCAUUAAGUUUGACUAGCUAAAAUCGUUAGCAUUUAUAAGUUGGUUAUCAGAUCUAAAAGACGAAGAAAUGCUGAAUAUUCUGCAUUCAGGGUUUCUGCAGGUUUGAACAAGUUAAAUUUAAGACUUUAAUACCUUCUUAAGACCCAUUAUGAAUACAAUUUCUGACCUAUAUGAAGGACACACGCACAACUAACUAUGAAACAUAGAAACCCUGUGCAUUAUUCACUUGCUACUUUUCUUACCUGUUCACAUUCCCGUGAAGUUCAAAAAUGUCUUUGCUCACUCGGAGCAAUUCCUUGGCGAUAUUGAUUCGAUCCUCUCUAGUCAACCGUCUCUUCCGAAACAGUUUGCCGCGUAGUGUGGAAGAGGACAAACGGUCACAUGUCUCUAGAUUCAACCAAUGAGAAGGCGCAGCGACCCAAUGACGAAUCGAAACCUAAACCGACGUGCGGCCGGGAAAGUUUCAAUCAACCGUUGGACACUCAGGGUGUCCAUCAUCCUAAAAUAAACACUUAAAUUACUCUACACCACCAGCAUUAUACUUAGACAACACCCAAGAGUGUUUCUGGUACACCCCCAAAAAAU
ensembl:lncRNA